GCCUUUAUGGUUAAGUGGGAUAAUUUUGUAUUUUUGGGGUAAGGUUCGAACUCUUUUGGGGCAAAACAUUUUUAUUUUUUUUUACUUUUUCUUUCUCCAAAAAUUUUUCUUUUUUCCACAUUUUUUAGACUGUUUCUAGGGUUUUGAAUAAAAUUUGCCUUUAUGGUUUAGUGGGAUAAUUUUGUAAUUUUUGAGUUGAAGGUUCGAACCCUUUUGGGGCA